rnacentral:rRNA from 1 species
AUUGAACGCUGGCGGCAUGCCUUACACAUGCAAGUCGAACGGUAACAGGUCUUCGGAUGCUGACGAGUGGCGAACGGGUGAGUAAUACAUCGGAACGUGCCCGAUCGUGGGGGAUAACGAAGCGAAAGCUUUGCUAAUACCGCAUAAGAUCUACGGAUGAAAGCAGGGGACCGCAAGGCCUUGCGCGAACGGAGCGGCCGAUGGCAGAUUAGGUAGUUGGUGGGAUAAAAGCUUACCAAGCCGACGACCUGUAGCUGGUCUGAGAGGACGACCAGCCACAUUGGGACUGAGACACGGCCCAGACUCCUACGGGAGGCAGCAGUGGGGAAUUUUGGACAAUGGGCGAAAGCCCGAUCCAGCCAUGCCGCGUGCAGGAUGAAGGCCUUCGGGUUGUAAACUGCUUUUGUACGGAACGAAAAGACUCUUUCUAAUAAAGAGGGUCCAUGACGGUACCGUAAGAAUAAGCACCGGCUAACUACGUGCCAGCCGCCGCCGUAACAC